rnacentral:lncRNA from 1 species
UUUUUGGGACUAACCUAUUAACUCAGUGCCAAGUGCCAGUUUCUGCUUUUUCCGUGUUUUUGGCCCAUUUUCAGACGGAGUCCAAAUGGAAUGAAACUUUACGAUGAUUUUUUUGGGACCAAAAGAGACCCCCGAAGCUUUGGAAGAAGGCCAGAAGAGCCACGAGGGAGUCACAAGCCCUGACGCUGCCACCACCCCCCUAGGUGGCGCAGGGCAGGCUUGUGACCUCCUCGUGGGCUCAACCGACAUAAUUCCACCGCCAUAAAUUCCUAUAAAUUCAGAAACCCCCCAAAAGAAACCUAGAUCGGG